AUUGAACGCUGGCGGCAGGCCUAACACAUGCAAGUCGAGCGGAUGAAGGGAGCUUGCUCCUGGAUUCAGCGGCGGACGGGUGAGUAAUGCCUAGGAAUCUGCCUGGUAGUGGGGGAUAACGUCCGGAAACGGGCGCUAAUACCGCAUCCGUCCUGAGGGAGAAAGGGGGGGAUCUUCGGACCUCACGCUAUCAGAUGAGCCUAGGUCGCAUUAGCUAGUUGGUGGGGUAAAGGCCUACCAAGGCGACGAUCCGUAACUGGUCUGAGAGGAUGAUCAGUCACACUGGAACUGAGACACGGUCCAGACUCCUACGGGAGGCAGCAGUGGGGAAUAUUGGACAAUGGGCGAAAGCCUGAUCCAGCCAUGCCGCGUGUGUGAAGAAGGUCUUCGGAUUGUAAAGCACUUUAAGUUGGGAGGAAGGGCAGUAAGUUAAUACCUUGCUGUUUUGACGUUACCAACAGAAUAAGCACCGGCUAACUUCGUG
rnacentral:rRNA from 1 species